UACACGGAUGUCACGCACACUAAAUGUCGUCUUCCUCACACUGAACGAAAGCUCCUGUCUCAAACUGAAUGAUAUGUAAUUCAGAUGGCUGAAAAUCUCUGUAUUCUUCAUUUUGAAUGAAUAUGUUAACAUAUGAUGCAUCAACCUACUACUGAACGGAAAUCAUCCAAUUUAGUAAUGAAUAUAAGUAUAUAUCGGUAUGACAAUGAGUAGAUAAUUGAAUAACUAUAACACAAAUGAAUAAUUUGCAACUAAUGACAGAUUUUAUUUCCUACCAUGCCCCGAAUUGAAAAUCAUUCAAUUAUUGUAUAAAACGUCAUGUGGCGUAUGAAUGGUCCUUAAUAUCGAAUCAUUCUUGCAUACAUUGUAAAUAUGGCGGUUGCGGCGUGGUCAAUUUGCGAAUUGUAGAACGAGUUUGUGUAGAUCUUCAAGCAUCUACGAUUUAUUUCGAGUGCCACCAAGAACCCCAGCAACAACAGAACCAAGGAUUUUGUAUUCAAUCAGCGGGAUGGAGUCACGGCAUGUAGCUUACGAACAGGCAUCUGAUCCUGCAGUCUCAAUAUUUUAUAAUGUUUGAAUAUUACUUAUAUUGUGCAGCUAAAUAAAAAGCAGCAGUUAUUCAUUA